UAGGGUGUCUGGCGCCUCUCAGUGCCGGAAAGUUUAAGUCUUCCUGUGCAGAACUUUUACCAGCGGUCCGAAUUUAAUUCGUGACGCUGAGCUGAGCCUCAUUUUGUAUUUCUGUGAGGUGGAGGGGACCGUGAAUGCAGAGAAGCCCGGACGCUUACCCUAACCCGUCGCGCACGUCCCAGUCGCGGCUGCUGCCCUCACACCUUUCCUCUGGCUGUUGCAUUCGACUGCGUGGUUUCCAAAUAUUGACCAAGGGUAAGAGGUGGAUCUGUAGGAAAAUGAGGGCACAGAACGCCAAGGAUGGAGUGUGGUAGGAAAGAAGUGGCAAACGUCCAUGCUGCAGAAAUGCAACGCCUUUGGAAGUCUGAUCUCUGAACCAGCAGCAUCAGCGUCGCUGGGAACUUGUUAGAAACCACACGCUGGGCCUCAUGCCAGACUCACUGAACAGUAUGGUACCAGAGCAAAGAUACCCAAGAAGAUGAAUGGGACGGUACAGAGUCCAGACACAGACCCCUGGAUGCCUAGCCACAGUGAUGAUGAAGAGGGCAGCAGAGCAUCAGCUUUUCCAAAGAGAUAGAUGCUCCUUUGAAGUGCUGUGUCCUGGGUAGAGGGAUCCACGCCUGCUGUUGCCUCAAUUUUAAGUCCAUGAAGAGCCCGGGAUGGUGAUGGAUAGGACCUCUAUACCUGGUAUACGGACAUCCCUGAGGAGCUGGGUCAGUUGCAAAAAUGUCCUAUUUACAUAUUGCAAAGAAAAAAAAGCUAUUCCCCUUGUCAUAAAAGUUCACAUUCUUUACCCAUCCAAGAAAUCAGAGAUCAGCAAAGUUCAAGGUAGAGUCUCAAGAAAAAUCAUUGAUAUCUAGAAUAAAUCCUCCCUCAACUAACCCAGCGCUCCAUCCGUCAGAGGGUUAAGUGCCAGGUAUGGAAGAGAAUGGACAGGACACAUCCACCUAAAGGAACUACACCCCGUGGGCUCUGGAAUAUCAGUCAGCACUUCAAAUGUAUUCUGGUUGAUUUUUUCCACUAACAUCUGUGACAUCCAUCCCCAGGUAUGAGCACAUUUUCCAGGUUCUUUGGGUCAAGAAAAAUGCAUUUAUUUCCUUCCUCAAAAAAAAUGCAUUUAUUUCCUUCCUAACCCUAUAGCCUGCUACCACAUGACAUUCGCCAAAGGAAAACAUAAAGUGAAUCAUCUCUAUUUCAAACUAAGAGAAAGGACAAGGUCAGUAAGUAAAAAUUCUGAGUAGCAGAUUUUUUAAAUGUAAUUUUCUAUCAAAGACAUAAACUAAUGACAAUUAGAUGGUUCUAUCUGCACCAUGUAUAAGGAAUAUAAAACAUUGACUUAUAACCUCAACAUUCUUUUGACUACAGUCAUUGUGGUCAAAGAUGUAUAAAUUAUAAAUAUGACUCUUAAAAAUGCAACCAAUCUUUUCAGCAAAAACAAUUCUUCCAAGACCAUGUAAAAUGCCACUCCAGCCUGAACCAUGAAAGGUUUUGAUCUAGGUGUCUAGACAAAGAAGAUUUUGCUGCAAAUAAAAUCAUAAUUGAUCAGUCU